AUUUUGCAUCUAGAAUGAAUCUCAGGUCAGAAAUAAAAUAAAGCCCCAAACCUAUCACUGCUCAUGUUAGUAUUUGGAUGUGAAGGCACUUUACAGUAGACAGUGAUCAUCUAUUUUUUAUCUCAUCCUUAUUUGUUUAAUUGAAAGAAAAUUAAAAUUGUCUGGAGCUUACCAAAUGCCUUUUCCUGCAUUCAAUGCAUGAGGCAUGCUGACUUCUUAAUGCCAAGUUGGAAAAAAUAUGUAUUCUGUAACUUGAUGAAGAAACCAAAGUUAAUUCCACAAACAUGCGGUGACUUCUACCAGUUUGUGCACCCCUCAAGAAAUGGAAAUUGUACAUUGCAGGGAUUGACGCUCUGUACUUGAAUACUGAUAAAUAAGGAAGUCUUGCUUUCUGGGGACCCAAACUGGUGUCAGUUUUAUUCUGGGAAUAAGUGACCACAAUUAUCUUCUUUGCCUUCAUGGAAGAUUUUUAAAGAAUAAG